CCUACGGGUGGCAGCAGUGGGGAAUAUUGGACAAUGGGCGAAAGCCUGAUCCAGCCAUGCCGCGUGUGUGAAGAAGGCCUUCGGGUUGUAAAGCACUUUCAGUGGGGAAGAAAGCCUUGGGGCUAAUACCCUCGAGGAAGGACAUCACCCACAGAAGAAGCACCGGCUGAACUCCGUGCCAGCAGCCGCGGUAAUACGGAGGGUGCGAGCGUUAAUCGGAAUUACUGGGCGUAAAGCGCGCGUAGGCGGUCUGAUAAGCCGGUUGUGAAAGCCCCGGGCUCAACCUGGGAACGGCAUCCGGAACUGUCAGGCUAGAGUGCAGGAGAGGAAGGUAGAAUUCCCGGUGUAGCGGUGAAAUGCGUAGAGAUCGGGAGGAAUACCAGUGGCGAAGGCGGCCUUCUGGACUGACACUGACGCUGAGGUGCGAAAGCGUGGGUAGCAAACAGGAUUAGAUACCCGAGUAGUC
rnacentral:rRNA from 1 species